rnacentral:rRNA from 1 species
UGGGGAAUAUUGGACAAUGGGCGAAAGCCUGAUCCGGCCAUGCCGCGUGUGUGAAGAAGGUCUUCGGAUUGUAAAGCACUUUAAGUUGGGAGGAAGGGCAGUAAGCGAAUACCUUGCUGUUUUGACGUUACCGACAGAAUAAGCACCGGCUAACUCUGUGCCAGCAGCCGCGGUAAUACAGAGGGUGCAAGCGUUAAUCGGAAUUACUGGGCGUAAAGCGCGCGUAGGUGGUUCGUUAAGUUGAAUGUGAAAGCCCCGGGCUCAACCUGGGAACUGCAUCCAAAACUGGCGAGCUAGAGUAGGGCAGAGGGUGGUGGAAUUUCCUGUGUAGCGGUGAAAUGCGUAGAUAUAGGAAGGAACACCAGUGGCGAAGGCGACCACCUGGGCUCAUACUGACACUGAGGUGCGAAAGCGUGGGGAGCAAACAGG